AACGUAGGACGCAAGCGUUAUCCGGAGUUACUGGGCGUAAAGCGCGGGCAGGCGGUUGUUCAAGUCUGAUGUGAAAUCUCCUCGCUCAACGGGGAGCAGCCAUUGGAAACUGGGCAACUGGAGUCUGGCAGAGGUAGGCGGAAUUCCGGGUGGAGUGGUGAAAUGCGUAGAGAUCCGGAGGAACACCGGUGGCGAAAGCGACUCUCUGGACGGAAACUGACGCUGAGGCACGAAAGCGUGGGGAGCAAACAGG
rnacentral:rRNA from 1 species